rnacentral:rRNA from 1 species
UUUCCUACGGGAGGCAGCAGUAAGGGAUAUUGGUCAAUGGGGGAAACCCUGAACCAGCAACGCCGCGUGAGGGAAGACGGUUUUCGGAUUGUAAACCUCUGUCCUCUGUGAAGAUGAUGACGGUAGCAGAGGAGGAAGCUCCGGCUAACUACGUGCCAGCAGCCGCGGUAAUACGUAGGGAGCGAGCGUUGUCCGGAUUUACUGGGUGUAAAGGGGGCGCAGACGGCGAUGCAAGCCAGGAGUGAAAGCCCGGGGCCCAACCCCGGGACUGCUCUUGGAACUGCGUGGCUGGAGUGCAGGAGGGG